AAAGGAAUUGACGGGGGCCCGCACAAGCGGUGGAUUAUGUGGUUUAAUUCGAAGCAACGCGCAGAACCUUACCUAGGCUUGAAAUCCUACGAAUCUGGAGUAAUGUCCGGAGUGCCCGCAAGGGAAUGUAGUGACAGGUGCUGCAUGGCUGUCGUCAGCUCGUGUUGUGAAAUGUUGGGUUAAGUCUCGCAACGAGCGCAACCCCUAUCUUUAGUUGCCAGCAUUCAGUUGGGCACUCUAGAGAGACUGCCCGGGUUAACCGGGAGGAAGGUGGGGAUGACGUCAAGUCCUCAUGGCCCUUAUGCCUAGGGCUACACACGUAAUACAAUGGUGCAUACAGAGGGAAGCGACCCAGCGAUGGUGAGCAAAUCUCAAAAAGUGCAUCUCAGUCCGGAUUGGAGUCUGCAACUCGACUCCAUGAAGUUGGAAUCGCUAGUAAUCGUGGAUCAGCGUGCCACGGUGAAUACGUUCCCGGGCCUUGUACACACCGCCCGU
rnacentral:rRNA from 1 species